AGAGUUUGAUCCUGGCUCAGGAUGAACGCUAGCGGCAGGCCUAACACAUGCAAGUCGAGGGGCAGCGCGGGUAGCAAUACCCGGCGGCGACCGGCGCACGGGUGCGUAACACGUAUGCAAUCUGCCCUGUACAGGAGAAUAACCCGGAGAAAUCCGGCCUAAUGCUCCAUAGCGCGUAGGAGCGGCAUCGCCCUUACGCUAAAGAGCCAUCGGUACAGGAUGAGCAUGCGCCCUAUUAGCUAGUUGGCGGGGUAACAGCCCACCAAGGCCACGAUAGGUAGGGGUUCUGAGAGGAAGGUCCCCCACACUGGUACUGAGACACGGACCAGACUCCUACGGGAGGCAGCAGUGAGGAAUAUUGGUCAAUGGGCGCAAGCCUGACAGCCAUGCCGCGUGCAGGACGACGGCCCUACGGGUUGUAAACUGCUUUUGCACGGGAGCAAACCCGGCCCCGCGGGGCCGGUUGAGAGUACCGUGCGAAUAAGGAUCGGCUAACUCCGUGCCAGCAGCCGCGGUAAUACGGAGGAUCCGAGCGUUAUCCGGAUUCAUUGGGUUUAAAGGGUGCGUAGGCGGCUUGGUAAGUCAGCGGUGAAAGGCUGGGGCUCAACCCCAGCAGCGCCGUUGAAACUGCCGAGCUUGAGUACGGAUGAAGCCGGCGGAAUGCGCAGUGUAGCGGUGAAAUGCAUAGAUAUUGCGCAGAAGGCCGAUUGCGAAGGCAGCUGGCUAAUCCGGAACUGACGCUGAGGCACGAAAGCGUGGGGAUCAAACAGGAUUAGAUACCCUGGUAGUCCACGCCGUAAACGAUGAUAGCUCGCUGCUGGCGAUACACAGUCAGUGGCCAAGCGAAAGCGGUAAGCUAUCCACCUGGGGAGUACGUUCGCAAGAAUGAAACUCAAAGGAAUUGACGGGGGCCCGCACGAGCGGAGGAACAUGUGGUUUAAUUCGAUGAUACGCGAGGAACCUUACCCGGGCUCGAACGGCUUCUGAAUGCGGGCGAAAGUUCGCAGCCAGCAAUGGCAGGAGCCGAGGUGCUGCAUGGUUGUCGUCAGCUCGUGCCGUGAGGUGUCGGCUUAAGUGCCAUAACGAGCGCAACCCCUAUCUCCAGUUGCCAGCGGGUGAAGCCGGGGACUCUGGAGAGACUGCCAGCGUAAGCUGCGAGGAGGGUGGGGAUGACGUCAAAUCAGCACGGCCCUUACGUCCGGGGCGACACACGUGUUACAAUGGGUGGUACAGAGGGCCGCUACCGGGCAACCGGAUGCCAAUCUCGAAAGCCACUCCCAGUUCGGAUCGGAGUCUGCAACCCGACUCCGUGAAGUUGGAUUCGCUAGUAAUCGCGCAUCAGCCACGGCGCGGUGAAUACGUUCCCGGGCCUUGUACACACCGCCCGUCAAGCCAUGGAAGCUGGGGGUACCUGAAGUGCGUGACCGCGAGGAGCGCCCUAGGGUAAGACCGGUGACUGGGGCUAAGUCGUAACAAGGUAACCGUA
rnacentral:rRNA from 1 species